GAGGCAUGUGAAGAGCUUUUUAACUUUUAUUAACUACGGUUGUAAGCUGUGAAAAGCACAAAUUUGAAAACAAUGAAUAAACAAUGGAGAAAUGUGCUUCAAUUAUGGUUUAUAAAUGUAUCAGUCAAGUGAUUCAGUGUUAAAGUGACCACCACCACCACCACCACCCACCCACCACCAUGUAGUGGGUGUAUAGGGUUCGGUCCAGCAGUCUGCCCUGGUGCACUGUGACGUGAGGACCUGCGUGUGCUGCUACUCUCAUCCUGCCGGUGUGGUGACUGUGACCUGCCCUGACCUGCCUGUGACCUGCUAUUAACCUGCUUUUGACCUGCCUUGACUUCCUCUGACACAUGGUGACCCGAGACCUGCCAAGACCUUCCCAGGACCUUCCAAGACCUUCCAAGACCCACAAUGACCCACAGAUGAAGGUACAGAUUUAAGAAGUGCGAUGAUGCGACACACAGACAGACAGACAGACAGACAGGUGUGGGAUGAGUGCUGGCAUACUGAAGGUCAAGAGGUCAAGAGGUCAAGAGUCACGUGUUGAGUCGUAUGGGUCACCAGACAGGUCACCCACCUAACCCCUCUCGGCCUGUCAGUUCAGCGGCAACACUGUCAUGGAAGAAUUUGCUGCAAGCUGUGCCUCUCUGUGCUUGUUAUCCGAACCUUGUGUCUAAUAUUGCCUUAAUGUUGGUUGUGUGUGUGUGUUGAGAGAGAGAGAGAGAGAGAGAGGAAGAGAGAGAGAGAGAGAGAGAGAGAGAGAGAGAGAGAGAGAUUUUGUUACUCGUCAUGUCCCCUGUACCACUUGAAGACCUCCACCAGACCCCCUCUUAGUCACCCUUGUUGUGUCCCCUGUACCACUUGAAGACCUCCACCUGACCCCCUCUUAGUCACCCUUGUUGUGUCCCCUGUACCACUUGAAGACCUCCACCAGACCCCCUCUUAGUCACCCUUGUUGUGUCCCCUGUACCACUUGAAGACCUCCACCAGACCCCCUCUUAGUCACCCUUGUUGUGUCCCCUGUACCACUUGAAGACCUCCACCAGACCCCCUCUUAGUCACCCUUGUUGUGUCCCCCUGUACCACUUGAAGACCUCUACCAGACCCCCUCUUAGUCACCCUUGUUGUGUCCCCUGUACCACUUGAAGACCUCCACCAGACCCCCUCUUAGUCACCCUUGUUGUGUCCCCUGUACCACUUGAAGACCUCCACCAGACCCCCUCUUAGUCACCCUUGUUGUGUCCCCUGUACCACUUGAAGACCUCUACCAGACCCCCUCUUAGUCACCCUUGUUGUGUCCCCUGUACCACUUGAAGACCUCCACCAGACCCCCUCUUAGUCACCCUUGUUGUGUCCCCUGUACCACUUGAAGACCUCCACCUGACCCCCUCUUAGUCACCCUUCUGAGGUACAAUAGUGUCUUGUCAUCCUUCCUAUGUCAUCCUUGUGUAAUCAGGAAUAAUUAUCAGCAUUUGUACUCCUCCUGUCUGUCUGUCUGUCUGCCUACCAGUUAAAAUGAUCAAUGUAGUCAGUUUAUACUUGUGGAUACUGUGUGUGUGUGUGUGUGUGUGUGUGUGUGUGUAUAUAUAUGAAUUAAUGUUUAUUGUGAAGUAUCUGCCUGCCUGCUUGCAAAUUAAUCAUCAAUAUAAUUACUGUUUGUGUGUUUGUGUGUUAUAAAGUUAAUCUUGUAGUGUAUUAUUGAUUGUAAUCCACAUGUAUGGGGCUGGCCAGACGUGAUGUACUGUGACAGCCAGAACCUUGACAUAUACUGCAUGAUAAAAUGAAAAUAAGCAAAAAUACAUGAAUAAAGUACAAAUUUUGAGCCGAACUAAUGAGGACUUUCUCUCGUCUUUUUCAGAGGUGCGUACAUCUGCGAGUCACUCCAACCAACCUCUUAUAUCCUACCUUAUUCUGAUAUAUUAGGUUAGAUUCAGUUAGGUUACUUAUAUUGGGGGUUUGUCUUCCUUACUAACAAAAUUAUCCUAACCCAUUCCUUCCUUCUCGUCAAGCUGUCAGUGGGAGAAGCCCCAGGACUCUCAAGCGUGGGUUUGAGUUACAACUGCGGGUGUGCUAGCUCACCUUGAAGUCAGACGGGGCUCACGUGUUGCAGUGUUGCAGUGUUGCAGUGUUGCAGAUCUUCACCCAAACAAGGGGAGUAUUGUUUUUUUGUGUUUUGUAUAUAUAUAUUUUUUUUUGGGGGGGAGGGGGUCUGGGGAUAGCUAUCUGCGGUGUGCAUCUGUGCGUGCGUCUGUGUGUGUGUGCGUCUGUGUGUGCAUCUGCGUGUGCGUCUGUGCACGUGCGUCUUGUGUGCGUGCAUCUGUGUGUACGUGUCUUUUUUUUGGUUGUGUGUGUGUGAAUUUUUUUUUGGUAUAAAUAUAUAGGUGGCAGGCCAUAGUGUUAGGAUAUUUGACAGAUUAAUAUAGAAGAUAGUUUAAGUUAGUUAUUAAUAUAGAAGAUGGUUUAAGUUAGUUAAGGGUUAAGUGAGGCAUAUAGAGAGAGAGAGAGAGGGGAAGACAGAUAUUAAUAGGAUUAGCUUAUAUUUUUUUUAGGGUUUUAAGUAAGUAUCUAGGUGGCAGGUCAGAAUGAUAUAAUAUUUAACACAGAUUAAUAUAGAAGAUGGUUUUAAGUUAGUAUAUAUCAAAGAGUUAAGUGAGGCAUAGAGAGAGAGAGAGAGAAAGGGUUAAUAGGAUUAGAAUGACAGGAGUAUAUAUCAAAGGGUUAAGUGAGGCAUAGAGAGAGAGAGAGAGAGGGUUAUUAAUAGGAUGACAGGAGUAUAUAUCAAAGGGUUAAGUGAGGCAUAGAAAGGGUUAUUAAUAGGAUUAGGAUGACGGGGUGUAUGAAUGUUUAACUCAGAUUAUAUUGAAGGUUUACUUCUUUAUAAUCUGAGUUUGUAUGGCAUGUUGAGUAUUAGUAUGUUAUUUUUGUAGUGGUGGUAGUGGUGUUGGGAUGUAUGAAUGAUGAUUUUUUUUUUUUUUUUGGUGGGGGGGGGCAAGGGGGGUAUAUAUAUAUAUAUAGUGUUAUAUAGAUAUUUUUUUUUUUUUUUAUCCCCAGAUCUUUGGUAAGAGAUCUGGGGAUUGUAUGUAUGUAUGUCUAGCCAGUAUUUUGGUAAGAUACUGGCUAGUGAGUGAGUGUGUGUGUGUGUGUGUGUGUGUGUGUGUGUGUGUGUGUGUGUGUGUACGUGUGGUGUGUGUACGUGUGUGUGUGUGCGUGCAUAUGUGUGUGGUGUGUGCAGUUUUUUUUUUAGGUUAGGUUAAUUAGUUAAAUAAAUAAAU